rnacentral:rRNA from 1 species
GACGUAGGGAGCGAGCGUUGUCCGGAUUCAUUGGGCGUAAAGAGCUCGUAGGCGGUGUGUCGCGUCGGCCGUGAAAACCUGGGGCUCAACUCUGGGCGUGCGGUCGAUACGGGCAUCACUGGAGUUCGGCAGGGGAGACUGGAAUUCCUGGUGUAGCGGUGAAAUGCGCAGAUAUCAGGAGGAACACCGGUGGCGAAGGCGGGUCUCUGGGCCGAUACUGACGCUGAGGAGCGAAAGCCAGGGGAGCAAACGGG